CGGUUCCUAAAACUCCCGAAGAACGACCCUGUCCAGACAAUUUCAGCACGAGAGUCGGGUUUGGGCUCUGGCCGCGGAGACCCGCUCGGGAGAGAGAGUGCGGAGCCCCGGCGGGAUUUAAUUCCGGGUCAUUUCGCACCCACACCGGAGGCCCCGGGACAGGGCGUCCCCCAGACGCCCGGCCGGCGCUCGCAGCUCGCGCCCUCUGUCCCGUUCAAAUCCCCCAGCCGCGACCCCAGGACAGGCCGACGAGAAUACUACUCACGUGUCCUCCAAGUGCUGCUCUAAAGUUGCCUCCAUCCCGCCGCGAGUCGUCUCCUUCUUCGCCGCUGGUCUCGGGUGCCCCUCGGUCGUUCACAUGACGCGAGCGGGCCGUGGGCAGGAACGGUGCCUCCAAAGGGACAAACUUCGCGGCGCAGCCUUCGCGUUGUGUCCAGGAUGACAUCUUUACGCGCCCGCCGCCGCGAGCCGGGCGGAGGUUCUGCUGCCUGUGCAACGGGCGAGGGGACGGCGCGGAAUGCCGCCGCGGGAGGGAGGUCUGCAGUCGUCCCUCGGAGCCGGCCUCCUGGCCUGUCCCUUUGUCUCCUCCAUACAGACCUUUGGAUUCCAAUUCCACCGACUCCAAGAAGUCGGGCCAGACCCUGUUGAAGUUUUACAAUAACCCGGCCGGUCCGACGGGGUCUCAUCCAGGCGGUGGGGCAGAGAGAGACAAGAGAGACACAGGACCCCGAUGAAGGGUCCCCAGGCUUGUAGGGCAAAAGACUGGACACAGGGACUAGAGGACGAGAUGGAACAAUGCUAAUAGCAUCUACCAACUUAGCGAAGUGUUACUGGUCCUUACUUCAGAGUAGAGAACGUCGUGAAGACAAGAUGACCCACCUCGUUCUGCACAUCCUGCCAUGAAGAGCAGAGCGAGAAGCUUUUUUGUUGGCUGCCACCGUCUCUCUUGGAAUCUGAAUUUAGCUUCGGGAGCUUACCUAUUGUUACAACACUGAAUUACCCUCUUGUAAGACCUUGGACAAGUCCUCUAAUGCCUUGAUAUCUCAGAUGUUUUUCAAUUCUCCCUGAAGAUAAGAAUAGUAUCCACCUCAUAGCGGUGGUGUGGGAACUCCAUGGGACGAUGCAUGUGAAGCGCCUCACACAGUCUCUGGGGCCACCGCAGACAGCGAACAGGUGAGAGCUGCUAUUCUUGCCAGGACCUCAGGAAGUGAUAGCUGAGGCAAAGUUGAACUAGACUGUCAUUCAGGGCUCUUAGCUGCAAGCAACAGAAGCUGACUUUGGCUUAGAGAGUAGGAAAGGAAAUUUUAAAAUGACACUGGGUAGCUCACGGUUACCCAAUUGUUGGGAGGGCUGGAGAGCUCAGUCUAAGCUUCCAAUGACAAAGCUCCGAGCCCACCAUGCCACCCCUGCCACUGGUCUUGUGGCAGCCCACAACAGCUUGCGGCACCAAGGCCAUUACUGUGGCAGGAACCUAACCCUAUGCCCGCUACGCCCCCGAAGCCAGACCCCCUCUGCUGCUGCCCUUGCCAGCAAAGUGGAGUUUUCCCAGAGCCUCUGAAUUGAAGUCUUGUGUGGAAAGAACGUGUGUGCAAAUAGAAAACAGAAAAUGUAGAAACGUAUGAAGACGAAAGAACCACCAAGACAAAUAAACCAAACCCAGGGUCAUUAGCAGUUCCUCCUUGCCAAGAUAAAAUGUGAACAUUUUAGUUCCUUUCUUUUCCAUCUUGUUCUUUUUGUGUGUCCAUGCAUUCACACACACACACACACACACACACACACACACGUGUAAAAUGGGGAUUACAUUGUAUAUUCUUUUUUGUUUCCAGCUUUUUCCACUUAGCCAUAUAAUGUUAACAUUUCCC